rnacentral:rRNA from 1 species
AAUUUUGCUCAAUGGGCGCAAGCCUGAAGCAGCAACGCCGCGUGAGGGAUGAAGGCCUUCGGGUUGUAAACCUCUUUUGUCAGGGACGAUUAUGACGGUACCUGACGAAUAAGCCACGGCUAACUACGUGCCAGCAGCCGCGGUAAUACGUAGGUGGCAAGCGUUGUCCGGAUUUACUGGGCGUAAAGAGCGCGCAGGCGGUCGUUCAAGUCGCGUGUGAAAGCCCCCGGCUCAACUGGGGAGGGUCACGCGAUACUGAUCGACUCGAAGGCAGGAGAGGGUAGUGGAAUUCCCGGUGUAGUGGUGAAAUGCGUAGAUAUGCGGAGGAACACCGAUGGCGAAGGCAAUCCCCUGGGCCUGCACUGACGCUCAUGCACGAAAGCGUGGGGAGCAAAC